AUCACGGAAGACAGCGCGCUUUGUGCUCGAAGACUUGCCGCGUUCGAAGAUAAAGCGUUAUGAAAUGUUAAGAAGAAAGGCGGUCGACCCGAUCAGUUUGUGUUAAAACAGUUGAAGACUUCCUUCGCAAACACGCAUGCAUCAAAUGAAGUUUAUUUCGGAGAAGGGAGUGAACAUAACGCCAUGCUACAAGCUAAAGUGAUCGCGCACCUGUCUGCCAUGAUGUGAUUUCGUUUCGGGGAUUGACCUAGAUUUGAAGAUCGACAUAAUAUAGCUCGCUACAAAGAGAUCUGUGAUUGCCGAAAGGUUGCUGUGUUUUAAAAUACUGCAGGGAAGUUGUUUUUAUAGUACAACAAUGUUCAUCGAAACAUUAGAAUUCACAAUCCCAGUGGAUUUGUGUGAUCUGUUUUCUACGCUGAAACGAGGUCCAAGAUCUAAUCUUGAAUUCCCGGCAUCCGUGAACUCGUACGGCACUACUCAAGAUGCCAGUGUGCAGGUUGUGUUGCGCUCAAACAAAUUGACGUUUAAAGUCGACGGUGUGUCGUCUGAUGCAAGCAUUAUAUCAAAAAGUGAAAGCAAAACAUUAAAAUUGUCAGUGUUUGAUGUUGAUCGGACUUUAAUGCCUCAAGAAAAUGACAAUUACAAUUCCAACAAUAUGACUAUCUCCGAAAUGCACCAUUCAACACCUGUGUUAAAUCAAUUCAAAAGGCAUCACGAAGUGUCAGUGUCACAACCUCCUGCUAAAAGCAUUAGGACUUCUUAUUCUGAGUCUCCAAGACCCAGAUCUCCUGUUCAUCGUCGCUCACAACCUCAUAUCUCUCCACGUCAGUCUCCAAACAUACAGUCAAAAUCUCAACAAAAUGACACGCCAGUGAAUGUGAAACUAGAACCAGAAGAUCCAGAUUUAAUAGAAAUAGAACCUGACGACAUUGUGCCAAAGAAAGAGACUCCAUACAUGCAAAUAGAUUAUUCAUCAGAUGUACCUCAUACGCAAACGUCCCAAGCAGCUCUUGAUCGACUCUCUCAUCCACAAUCAUCACAUUCUCAAUCACCCGGUUCUUCAUCUUCGUCCUUCCAUCAAAACGUUCCACAUGUGCCAGAUUUCGCCGAACCCAGUACUAGUCAAGCAAGAUAUGGUGACCAAAGUGCAGAUGACUUUUUAGUAUUCCAAGAUGAAAACGAUGACGGCGAUGAUAACGAAGCAGAUUACAGCAAUGACGAUGUUCAUGGUUUGGCUCGAGAGACACUCCUCCAAGGAGCAAACCGUAGCAAGCUAAGACAAACAGAGGCCUCUAAGAAAUGCUUUCCUUGUCCAAAAUGUACCAAAGUGUUUGCUUUUAGCAGUGCAAGACAGAGACAUGUGAAUGCCAUACAUGAAAAUAUGGUUUACAGCUGUGUGUGUGGGAAACAGUACAAUUACCAACAGAGUUAUGGCCGCCACAGAAAGACUUGUCCCAUGGCAUCAAAUCCUUAUACUAACUUCUCCAUGUCGAAUAUUCACCUCCUACAAAAGAAAUAAUGACAUCACAGACUAUUUCUGAAUGGUUUGAAUUCAGAUUCUCUUUAUUUAUCAGUGCUGUUCAGAUGUACAUGGUUUGGCUCGAGAGACUAUCUUCCAAGGAGCAAACUGUAGCAAGCUAAUACAAACAGAGGCCUCUAAGAAAUGCUUCCCUUGUUCAAAAUGUAACAAAGUGUUUGCUUUUAGUGGGACAAGACGAAGACAUGUGAAAGCAAAACAUGAACAUUUUAUUCAUAGGUGUGUGUGUGGGAAACAGUACAAUUACCAACAGAGUUAUGGCCGCCACAGAAAGACUUGUCCCAUGGCAUCACUUCAAACAAACCCUUGUACAAACGUCUCCUUGUCAGAUGUAGAACUCUUACAGAAAAAAUAAUGACCUCACUGUUGAAAGAACUUUUCCCUCACUAAUUUUUCAGUGUGUUUGAAUUCAGAUUCUCUCAAGUGUAUCAUUGUAUGAAGUGAGCUGGAUUUGUUCUGCUUUGAACAGUUUCAUUAAUAUCCCCGUGGGUCAGUUUGGUUUUGCAAACAAGUUCAAAGUGGCACAGGUUGUGGACACUUCCAUUUUAAAACCCACUGUGUGAUGUUGACAUUCCUUGGUUCAGAGUGUGGAAAUUGAAGACAUGACAAGAUGUUACUGGCUUCGCAAAGGGACACAACUCAGCACAGAGAUUUGAGGUUGUUGAGAUCAUUGAGCUAGCAUGCCACUGAAGUGAACGUAAUACUCAGUGCCAUUGAUAUGAAAUGUACAAUAGCUGAUAUAAUGCAACAAAUAUAAACAGUUCAUUAUAGUCGUAUUCCUAAAUGUUAUCCAAAGGAAUAUGGUUGCAGCUUCAUAUGUUAUUUUAUGAUAUAUUACAAUAUUAUGGUAUCACUACAGUUCUUCUCAGCAAACAUUCUACAAGUGAACACCAAUAGGCAAACAAUAGAAAAGUGAGACUUCUUUGUUAACAGCAAGGAUACCCACAUGGGCACAAUGUGUGAAACCCAUUUCUGGUGUCCAUUGCCAUGAUGUUGCUGGAAUAUUGCUCUAAGUGGCGUAAAACCAUACUCAAGGCAAGCAAACUUUCAAUAUUCAGGGGUCACUCUGAAGCACUGAGAUUCCAACAGACUAAUCAGCACUGACCCUGCCUGGUGCUUAAAAGGACGCUUAGUACUUGUGUUUCAGUCACAUGCUUCAUCAGUACUGGACAGAUCAUGAUUGGCUUCUUUUGUUUGUUUGUUUGUUGUUUUACGCCGCAUUCAGCAAUAUUCCAGCUAUAUGACGGCGGAAAUAAUCGAGUCUGGACCAGACAAUCCAGUGAUUAACAUCAUGAGCAUCGAUCCACGCAAUUGGAACAUAUCCCUAAGCUUGUCCAGACUGAUACUUUCUUGCACACACAUCCCAAAGACACCAUGCCCAUACAGAUUGUGUGGCUGCUUUUUUCGUCAGUUAUUUCAUCCAUGUUACAGCUUUCUCUGGUUGAGGCAUACUAUCUUUGUGGUCUAAUGGAUAAUGGUUGUCCUGGAGAGCGGCAAGUCCGUGGUUCGAUCCCCAGCUGCGUCAUACCAAAAGACGUUAAAAGAUGGUAUUUGUUCUUACCCUGCCUGGCUUUCGGCAUUGAGGGGCAAAGAUAAAGUCUGGUUGGAUCGGAGUCUGUAUAAUGCACAAAUAUUGACUGUUGCUACGAAGGUAGUUCAUUGUAUAAGAUGCUUUUUAUGUUGAAGUUAUUUGAGGCUGCUGAGGCUUGUGGGAAAUAGCCCAGCUGCAUUUGAGACUAUCUUGCCUAAAAAGUUACCAGCCGGUUUCAGAUCUCACAGGCUGAAUAUUUGACAAUUUAUUUUUCAUCCCCCGUACUGUUUGGCAUUUGUCCUCAGUCAACAUUUGUUAAGUUACACACCUUUUGAUUAGUUGUAAUUCAUUGUUCAUCAAAUCAUGUUUGCCAUGAUUUACUGUGACAACAGUCACUCUAACAAGAUGAAGGGGGAUAACUCUGAUCUUGCAACCUUAUUUUGUUUUGAUCGUGUAGAUUGAAAUGAGGAUAAAUAUAUCAUGUUCAGCUUCGUAAAAUAUUUGUGUUGCUUGUAGAGGCUUAGAGACUCUGUUUUUCUAUA
rnacentral:misc_RNA from 1 species